UUUACUUGUUUAUAUUUGCUAUAUUUGCUUAUUUGAAAAGCUUGUAUUUGAUUUAAACUCUUGUUCUAAUAUCUUGUAACUUGAUUCAAUCAAGGGAUUGAAUCAAGGGGUUAAGGUUUGUUGGUGAGCCAAAGGAAAAACCAACGUUGUAAGGUUGUGGUUGGUGAGCCUUUGGGAAAACCAACUGGGUUGAUUGUGAACCCGGAAAACAAUCGUUGUAAGGUUGUGGUUGGUGAGCCUUUGAAAAAACCA
rnacentral:lncRNA from 1 species